rnacentral:rRNA from 1 species
AACGAACGCUGGCGGCAGGCCUAACACAUGCAAGUCGAGCGGACCUUUCGGGGUCAGCGGCGGACGGGUGAGUAACGCGUGGGAAUAUGCCCUUCUCUACGGAAUAGUCCUGGGAAACUGGGGGUAAUACCGUAUACGCCCUUUUGGGGAAAGAUUUAUCGGGGAAGGAUUAGCCCGCGUUGGAUUAGGUUGUUGGUGGGGUAAUAGCCUACCAAGCCGACGAUCCAUAGCUGGUUUGAGAGGAUGAUCAGCCACACUGGGACUGAGACACGGCCCAGACUCCUACGCGAGGCAGCAGUGGGGGAUCUUAGACAAUGGGGGCAACCCUGAUCUAGCCAUGCCGCGUGAGUGAUGAAGGCCUUAGGGUUGUAAAGCUCUUUCAGCUGGGAAGAUAAUGACGGUACCAGCAGAAGAAGCCCCGGCUAACUCCGUG